rnacentral:rRNA from 1 species
AGUGAACGCUGGCGGUAGGCCUAACACAUGCAAGUCGAACGGCAGCACAGUAAGAGCUUGCUCUUACGGGUGGCGAGUGGCGGACGGGUGAGGAAUACAUCGGAAUCUACUUUUUCGUGGGGGAUAACGUAGGGAAACUUACGCUAAUACCGCAUACGACCUACGGGUGAAAGCAGGGGAUCUUCGGACCUUGCGCGAUUGAAUGAGCCGAUGUCGGAUUAGCUAGUUGGCGGGGUAAAGGCCCACCAAGGCGACGAUCCGUAGCUGGUCUGAGAGGAUGAUCAGCCACACUAGAACUGAGACACGGUCCAGACUCCUACGGGAGGCAGCAGUGGGGAAUAUUGGACAAUGGGCGCAAGCCUGAUCCAGCCAUACCGCGUGGGUGAAGAAGGCCUUCGGGUUGUAAAGCCCUUUUGUUGGGAAAGAAAAGCAGCAGGUUAAUACCCCGCUGUUCUGACGGUACCCAAAGAACAAGCACCGGCUAACUUCGUG